rnacentral:tRNA from 1 species
GUUUUAAUAAUUUAAUAUAUAUAUAUAUAAAAUAUUGAUUUUGUAAAUCAAAAAUAAGAAAAUUCUUUUAAAACU